AGGUCUUGCUUUGUGGAUACCUGGAGUUGAAUGGGCACUUUCUGGAGGUCAGCAGCCCUGGUUCUGCAGCAGCCAAGUGCCCCUCCCGUGCUGCCAGUGCAGAGACCUGGUGUUCUGGCAGUAACCUCAGCAUGUGCGAGUCAAGCUGUCAGUGCGUUCACUGCAUGACUGAUUCCUGUUGGUGAUUGGCUGGUUUCCUGGACAUGCUGUAAACAGUGUUGAACGAGCUGAUCACAUGCUGGCUUCUCGUCACCUGCAAGAGGGUCAUGUGUGCUGAAGAUGUGUGGGCGGUGUCCUCGGGGCAAACAUGGUGAAGUCUCCAGUCUGUGCCAGAUGCUGCCAGAGAAACAGCAUAUUCAAGCCUGAGAUGGCCCCAACGUUCCUUAGAUUAUAACAUUUAAUAACAGUUGAAUAAAACAGACGCAUCAUGCUUAGAUCUUCAGUCUCAUAGAGAUCCCAUUGGUGUUGUUCAGGGACUCGGGACAGAAUGCAGAGUGAGGCCGCCACCUGAAGUGCGGUUGGCACUGGCUGUCCCUGCAGCCUGCUCAGAGCAUCGUGGAACACAGCACGGAGUGGGGACUCAGACGAGGCGACGCCAGCCUGUUCCACCAGC